AGCCCAUUCAGCAUACCCAUCAAAGGCCCAGACAAUAAAUUUCAUGCUUCCUCUAUAAAUACAGAGCCAUAUUUUUUUCUGCAAGAAUUCAUCGGGUAAGAUUAGGGUUUAUGCGAGGUCGGCGCGGAGGCUUAUCCUUUUGUUUUGGUUAUCAGUUUUAGUGAUUUAUGUGUGAGAAGGCAUAGGUAGAUGCGAUGACGAUUGUAGAAAAGAGGAAAAUCAUGAUUGUGGGUCGGUUUAGCAGCUGCUCCGCAAGAUGAAUCUCUUGUUUUGGGGAGCCUUGGAAUUUUGUAAACCAGGCGAUAGUGAAAGGCAUUUGUAAUUACAUCAAGAAAUGACACUGGUGUAAAAAUCGCUUACUUCCAUUCUGCACGUUAAUUUAUUGCUAUUUGGAGCUUACUAAGUAAGACGCCCAUAUCUCACCUGCUGGAGGCGGCAGCUGAACCCAAUGGCCUGGGAUGCGAUUGCAACAAAGUGGCCCGGAGUCAGACAAGCACAUACGAUUAACAGAGUAUCGAAUUUCUUAUGAGCUUUUGUAUCUUCUUCCACAAAAUCUUAAUCAAGUUGUUCACCAUAAUGCAGUAAUCAUGUUUAAAUAGAAAGGCCAAAAGACUUAUUCCCA